rnacentral:rRNA from 1 species
AGAGUUUGAUCAUGGCUCAGGACGAACGCUGGCGGCGUGCCUAACACAUGCAAGUCGAACGAGAUCCCGGAGCUUGCUCCGGGGGACAGUGGCGAACGGGUGAGUAACACGUGAGAAACCUGCCCUAGAGACCGGGACAACCAUUGGAAACGAUGGCUAAUACCGGAUGCCUUCACAUGGUCGCAUGGCCGCGUGAAGAAAUGCUCAGGUGCUCUAGGAGGGUCUCGCGGCCUAUCAGCUAGUUGGUGAGGUAACGGCUCACCAAGGCAUCGACGGGUAGCUGGUCUGAGAGGACGAUCAGCCACACUGGGACUGAGACACGGCCCAGACUCCUACGGGAGGCAGCAGUGGGGAAUAUUGCGCAAUGGGCGAAAGCCUGACGCAGCAACGCCGCGUGUGGGAUGACAGCUUUCGGGUUGUAAACCACUUUCAGUGACGACGAAAAUGACGGUAGUCACAGAAGAAGGUCCGGCCAACUACGUGCCAGCAGCCGCGGUAACACGUAGGGACCGAGCGUUGUCCGGAUUUAUUGGGCGUAAAGUGGGCGUAGGUGGUCUUUCAAGUCAGAUGUGAAAUCUCCCGGCUCAACUGGGAGGGGUCAUCUGAUACUGUUGGACUUGAGUACGGCAGGAGAAAAUGGAAUUCCCGGUGUAGUGGUGAAAUGCGUAGAUAUCGGGAGGAACACCAGAGGCGAAGGCGAUUUUCUAGGCCGAAACUGACACUGAGGCCCGAAAGCGUGGGGAGCGAACAGGAUUAGAUACCCUAGUAGUCC